rnacentral:rRNA from 1 species
ACUGCUCAGUAACACGUGGAUAACCUGCCCUUGGGUCCGGCAUAACCCCGGGAAACUGGGGAUAAUUCCGGAUACCGCAUAUGUGCUGGAAUGCUUUAUGCGUAAAAUGGAUUCGUCUGCCCAAGGAUGGGUCUGCGGCCUAUCAGGUAGUAGUGGGUGUAAUGUACCUACUAGCCGACAACGGGUACGGGUUGUGAGAGCAAGAGCCCGGAGAUGGAUUCUGAGACAUGAAUCCAGGCCCUACGGGGCGCAGCAGGCGCGAAAACUUUACAAUGCGGGAAACCGUGAUAAGGGGACACCGAGUGCCAGCAUCAUAUGCUGGCUGUCCGGGUGUGUAAAAUACACCUGUCAGCAAGGGCCGGGCAAGACCGGUGCCAGCCGCCGCGGUAACACCGGCGGCCCGAGUGGUGAUCGUGAUUAUUGGGUCUAAAGGGUCCGUAGCCGGUUUGGUCAGUCCUCCGGGAAAUCUGACGGCUCAACCGUUAGGCUUUCGGGGGAUACUGCCAGGCUUGGAACCGGGAGAGGUAAGAGGUACUACAGGGGUAGGAGUGAAAUCUUGUAAUCCCUGUGGGACCACCUGUGGCGAAGGCGUCUUACCAGAACGGGUUCGACGGUGAGGGACGAAAGCUGGGGGCACGAACCGGAUUAGAUACCCGGGUAGUCCCAGCCGUAAACGAUGCUCGCUAGGUGUCAGGCAUGGCGCGACCGUGUCUGGUGCCGCAGGGAAGCCGUGAAGCGAGCCACCUGGGAAGUACGGCCGCAAGGCUGAAACUUAAAGGAAUUGGCGGGGGAGCAC